rnacentral:rRNA from 1 species
UACGGAGGAUGCAAGCGUUAUCCGGAAUGAUUGGGCGUAAAGCGUCUGCAGGUGGCAGUUCAAGUCUGCUGUCAAAGACCGGGGCUUAACUUCGGAAAGGCAGUGGAAACUGAACAGCUAGAGUAUGGUAGGGGCAGAGGGAAUUCCUGGUGUAGCGGUGAAAUGCGUAGAGAUCAGGAAGAACAUCGGUGGCGAAGGCGCUCUGCUGGACCAUAACUGACACUCAGGGACGAAAGCGAGGGGAGCGAAUGGG